GGAAGGGUCUUGGCUCAGUGGUAGAGCAUCUGCUUUGAAUGUAGAAAGUUCCUGGUUCAAUCUAUGGUGCCUCCA